UAGUGGCAGCUCAACCCAGACCCCCAGGCCAGGAACCUCUCAGCCAAUGGUCCCCACUCCAGGGGCCAGCACCUCUUCUCAGCCAGCCACACCUAGUGGCUCAACACAGACCCCCAAGCCAGGAACCUCUCAGCCGACAACCACUGGGCCCAUAUCAGGUAGUCUAACACGUUGCUCUGGAGUCACUGUCACCCUUAACUCAGACAGGGGUUCUAGGAUGUGCUCUAGAAAAGGGUCCACCCGGGCUAGUCUGGCCUGACCACACUGACUAUGGAGUCUGUGUCUAGCUCUAGACAGAGGGCACCAAGAGGUCAUAAUAGGUGAACUGAAGAAGGUACAGGGAUACAGAAGCAGAUUUUAAAGCCAGUGAGUCCCAUAAUUCCCAGGACAAUCUGUAUUUAGGGUCUUAGGUUAGGUAAGGGCACUAUUCCAAUAAGUAGGGAGAAACAA
rnacentral:lncRNA from 1 species